rnacentral:lncRNA from 1 species
ACCAUCAAAAUACAUCAAUUUCUCUAAAUCAAUAAUCAAAAUACAACAAAAUAUUAUCCGAAUCUAUUCAAUCUACAAUCAAAAUACAACAAUUCCUUCGAAUUAACAAUCUCAUCAUUCAAUCUCCAAAUCAACAAUCUCAACAGAUCUUAGAAUGAAAAUCAUUCACAAACGUCUCAAAUCUAAAGUUUUUUUCAAGGAAUUAAGAUAAAAAUCCCCAAAAUUAUUCAGAUAUGUAACUAGGUUUUUUUUGCCUGGGAAAACGCGCCGCCUCUAAGCGGCACCGCUGCCGCUAUGCAUCGAGAAUCUCCUCAUUAAUUCCCAAUCAAACCUUGCCCAAUUCGACGCCUUCAACCUCGAGAAAUCCCUAAUCCUGCCAAUCAACAAGACAUUUAAGGUAUUAUACUAUCGCACUUCACUAUCUUCACAUACAUACUUCACACCCCAACAGAUCAUGCUUCAAUGAAUUAGAAAUUCAGAGAGUAUAGAGUUGAGUAUUGUGCAAAUGGACAUAGCAAACCACACACUUGUUAUAUAUGGUUUAUAGCAUUUUGCAGAAAUAGUAUGAUUUGUGCAUUAGUAUAUUGCCACUAUACUUAGAACCAAGACUCCAAGAGCCAUAAGAACUCGAGCAGGCUUAGCAUAAUCCUUAAGUAGAGAAAAGAAGCAGUCUACACUUCGUUGUAUUCCACAGUAGGAUCCGAUAGAGGGAACGUUGCCUAUGUCUUGAUUAAUAGUAUAUGAACUCAGAAAAUCGCAGCAACAUCAAAACUACAAAAGA